UUGGGUUUUCAAGAGAUGAGGCUGUGGGCAUGGUUUUGAGGUGCCCAGCAUUGUUUACUUUCAGUGUUGAGAACAACUUUAUGCCAAAAUUUGAGUACUUCUCUGAGGAAAUAAAGGGGAAAUUAGAGGAGUUGAAGGAGUUCCCUCAAUAUUUUGCUUUUAGUUUGGAAAACAGGAUAAAGCCAAGGCACAUAGAGGUUAUUCAAAGUGGGAUUAAAAUGGCUUUGCCAACAAUGCUUAAGAGUACUGAUGAAGAGUUCAGGGAGCUGCUAACGCAAGGAGCUGGAUAGAGUGGUGGG
rnacentral:misc_RNA from 1 species